AUGAUAAGCCAGUUAAGGCCAUAUAAGCAGCUUCAAUUCAAACUUGUCGGACAAGUGAAGAAACACACCAGUUAUAAACUUAUAAAGCUUUUAAAAAUCUUAGAAAUUGUAGUUCUCCAUGUUUUGUGUUCAGAGAGCCGUGUCUCUCUACAGUCAGAGGUUUUUGUACGACGGCUCAAUGAGUUUGUAUCACUGUGGUACACGUUCGGUGGAGGAACCAGACUGGAGUUUGGAAGUGAUACCCGCCCCACCCUGACAGUGUUGCCCCCCUCCAUUGUGGAGCUGCAGCAGCAGCAGGUUACCCUCCUGUGUCUGGCCAACAAGGGCUUCCCCUCAGACUGGACUCUGUCCUGGAAGCUGGACGGCAGCAGCAGCAGCUCCACCUGGGAGGAGAACAAGAGCGACGGAGUGAAGCAGAAUGACGGCCUCUACAGCUGGAGCAGCACCCUGAGGCUCCCUGCAGACCAGUGGAGGAAGGUGGGCUCUGUGACCUGUGAGGCCUCCCAGGGCUCCCAGUCUGCAGUCACAGAGACACUGAGGAGAAACCAGUGUUCCCAGUCCUGAGCUCAUUCUUCUUCUUCGCUAUAACAUUUUUUAAACAGUUUUAUUACAUUACUACUCUUAGUCUUCUCUCUGUAAAAACAAAAUGUUUCUCCAGUUUGUCUCUGAAAAUGUUUCUUUCUUUUUAAUAAACUCUGGUUUCUUU